UGGGGAAUAUUGCACAAUGGGCGCAAGCCUGAUGCAGCGACGCCGCGUGAGGGAUGACGGCCUUCGGGUUGUAAACCUCUUUCGCCAGGGACGAAGCGCAAGUGACGGUACCUGGAUAAGAAGCACCGGCUAACUACGUGCCAGCAGCCGCGGUAAUACGUAGGGUGCGAGCGUUGUCCGGAUUUAUUGGGCGUAAAGAGCUCGUAGGCGGUUUGUCGCGUCGGCCGUGAAAUCUCCACGCUUAACGUGGAGCGUGCGGUCGAUACGGGCAGACUUGAGUUCGGUAGGGGAGACUGGAAUUCCUGGUGUAGCGGUGAAAUGCGCAGAUAUCAGGAGGAACACCGGUGGCGAAGGCGGGUCUCUGGGCCGAUACUGACGCUGAGGAGCGAAAGCGUGGGGAGCGAACAGGAUUAGAUACCCCCGUAGUCC
rnacentral:rRNA from 1 species